GCCUUCGUGGUGUAGUGGUCAGCACGCUCGGCGCGUAUUCGAGAGGUCCGAGGUUCGAGUCCCGGCGAGGACA
rnacentral:tRNA from 1 species